rnacentral:rRNA from 1 species
ACGCUGGCGGCAGGCCUAACACAUGCAAGUCGAGCGGUAGAGAGAAGCUUGCUUCUCUUGAGAGCGGCGGACGGGUGAGUAAUGCCUAGGAAUCUGCCUGGUAGUGGGGGAUAACGUCCGGAAACGGACGCUAAUACCGCAUACGUCCUACGGGAGAAAGCAGGGGACCUUCGGGCCUUGCGCUAUCAGAUGAGCCUAGGUCGGAUUAGCUAGUUGGUGGGGUAAUGGCUCACCAAGGCGACGAUCCGUAACUGGUCUGAGAGGAUGAUCAGUCACACUGGAACUGAGACACGGUCCAGACUCCUACGGGAGGCAGCAGUGGGGAAUAUUGGACAAUGGGCGAAAGCCUGAUCCAGCCAUGCCGCGUGUGUGAAGAAGGUCUUCGGAUUGUAAAGCACUUUAAGUUGGGAGGAAGGGCAGUAAAUUAAUACUUUGCUGUUUUGACGUUACCGACAGAAUAAGCACCGGCUAACUCUGUGCCAGCAGCCGCGGUAAUACAGAGGGUGCAAGCGUUAAUCGGAAUUACUGGGCGUAAAGCGCGCGUAGGUGGUUCGUUAAGUUGUAUGUGAAAUCCCCGGGCUCAACCUGGGAACUGCAUUCAAAACUGACGAGCUAGAGUAUGGUAGAGGGUGGUGGAAUUUCCUGUGUAGCGGUGAAAUGCGUAGAUAUAGGAAGGAACACCAGUGGCGAAGGCGACCACCUGGACUGAUACUGACACUGAGGUGCGAAAGCGUGGGGAGCAAAC